rnacentral:rRNA from 1 species
UACAGAGGUUCCAAGCGUUGUUCGGAUUCACUGGGCGUAAAGGGUGCGUAGGCGGUCGGGUAAGUCUGAUGUGAAAUCUCACAGCUUAACUGUGAAACUGCAUUGGAUACUAUUCGGCUUGAGAGUUGGAGGGGGGACUGGAAUUCUUGGUGUAGCAGUGAAAUGCGUAGAUAUCAAGAGGAACACCAGUGGCGAAGGCGAGUCCCUGGACAACUUCUGACGCUGAGGCACGAAAGCUAGGGGAGCAAACAGG